CCUACGGGAGGCAGCAGUGGGGAAUAUUGCGCAAUGGGCGAAAGCCUGACGCAGCGACGCCGCGUGAGGGAUGAAGGUCUUCGGAUCGUAAACCUCUGUCAGCAGGGAAGAACGGUCACUGUGCUAAUCAGCAGUGAAUUGACGGUACCUGCAAAGGAAGCACCGGCUAACUACGUGCCAGCAGCCGCGGUAAUACGUAGGUGGCGAGCGUUAUCCGGAAUGAUUGGGCGUAAAGGGUGCGUAGGCGGCCUGCUAAGUCUGGAGUGAAAGGUACCGGCUCAACCGGUACAGGCUCUGGAAACUGGCAGUCUUGAGUACAGUAGAGGUGGGCGGAAUUCGUGGUGUAGCGGUGAAAUGCUUAGAUAUCACGAAGAACUCCGAUUGCGAAGGCAGCUCACUGGACUGCAACUGACACUGAUGCUCGAAAGUGUGGGUAUCAAACAGGAUUAGAUACCCCGGUAGUC
rnacentral:rRNA from 1 species